AAUGAGGAUAAAGCACCGCAGGUGCCUAGGGCCAUCCAUGAUGUCAUCAGCAUUGGGAUUUCACUGCCAAGAGAAUAAAAUAGUAGGUGGGAGCACUAACCUGCUUUCUCAUAAGGGAUGCAUCAUCCACCCAGAGUGAGAAUGCCCUGGCUGGACGCCCACUCCUUUACUUCUGCCAUCAUUGCUUCUUCCUAUUAAUGCCAGUCCCUCAACAGACUCUGCAGCCUUGAAGGUGAAUUCCUCCUCUACUUGACGAUCCAGUAGAUGGACUGAGGGGCCAGGCUUCACCAUUAGUUAUGUGACUUUGAGGAAGCUACUCUGAACCUCAGUUUCCUCAUCUGUAAAACAAGGAUGAUACUACAUCUCCUAACUGCGUUGUGAACGGCUAAAUGUUGAAACAGCUGGCUGCACCAGUCAUUUGAAUGCCCACACGCAGAGGCCAAAGGACACUGGCACUCAAGCACGGGCUCCCGUCCCUGGGAACUUCAGUGCGCCUGUGAAAGCGACUGGGGACUGGCGCCGCAGGCAGGAGAGCGAGAGGCUGCGCCCUGCAGGAGGCGUGCUCCGGGACGACGGGGCACCCACAC